rnacentral:rRNA from 1 species
AAUAGUUUUUUCUAUAAAUGAAAAUGUAAGCAUUCCCCCUCAAGAGUAAUUUGGCAACAUUGGAACUGAAAUCAUUAGACCGUUUAUGAAACCAGUAGUGAAGUAUGUUGUUUAAUUUGAUGAUCCGCAAAAAACCUUACCACAAUUUGAAUAUUUAUAUCUAUCUUCUUUUUUCGUAAGAAAAUAAAAAGGUAAUAUAUUUACGGUUGCACGGCUGUCUUCAGUUAAUGUCGCGAGACUUUGGUUAGUUCCAUUAAAUUAACGUAAACCCUUACUUUAUUUUUAUAUAAAGUAGUUCCCCGCUAUAUUGGAUAU